CAGUCGCCGCGGUAAUACGGAGGGGGCUAGCGUUGUUCGGAAUUACUGGGCGUAAAGCGCACGUAGGCGGCUUGGUAAGUUAGAGGUGAAAGCCCGGAGCUCAACUCCGGAAUUGCCUUUAAGACUGCAUCGCUUGAAUCGUGGAGAGGUGAGUGGAAUUCCGAGUGUAGAGGUGAAAUUCGUAGAUAUUCGGAAGAACACCAGUGGCGAAGGCGGCUCACUGGACACGUAUUGACGCUGAGGUACGAAAGCGUGGGGAGCAAACAGGAUUAGAUACCCGGGUAGUCCCUGUCUCUUAUAC
rnacentral:rRNA from 1 species